GCGAAACACGUGAGAAACCUGCCCCAGACUUGGGAAUAACAGUCGGAAACGACUGCUAAUACCGAAUACCUUCGGAUCGUCGCAUGGCGGACCGAAGAAAGCUUUUGCGGUUUGGGAGGGUCUCGCGGCCUAUCAGCUUGUUGGUGAGGUAAUGGCUCACCAAGGCAUCGACGGGUAGCUGGUCUGAGAGGAUGAUCAGCCACACUGGGACUGAGACACGGCCCAGACUCCUACGGGAGGCAGCAGUGGGGAAUAUUGCACAAUGGGCGAAAGCCUGAUGCAGCAACGCCGCGUGCGGGAAGAAGGCCCUAGGGUUGUAAACCGCUUUCAGCAGGGAAGAAACUGACGGUACCUGCAGAAGAAGGUGCGGCCAACUACGUGCCAGCAGCCGCGGUGACACGUAGGCACCAAGCGUUGUCCGGAUUUAUUGGGCGUAAAGAGCUCGUAGGCGGUUCAGUAAGUCGGGUGUGAAAACUCUGGGCUCAACCCAGAGACGCCACCCGCUACUGCUGUGACUUGAGUACGGUAGGGGGGCGGGGAAUUCCUGGUGUAGCGGUGAAAUG
rnacentral:rRNA from 1 species